GAUGAGAUGGCUGGAUGGAAUCACUGACUCGAUGGACGUGAGUCUGGGUGAACUCCAGGAGUUGGUGAUGGACAGGGAGGCCUGGGGUGCUGUGAAUCAUGGGGUUGCAAAGAGACGGACACGACUGAGCAACUGAACUGAACUGAUGAUCGGGGUUAAUAUCAUGUGCUCAUGUUCAGUUGCUCAGUUGUGUCCGAUUCUUUGUGACCUCAUAGAGUGUAGCCCUCCAGGCUCCUCUGUCUCUGGGAUUUUCCAGGCAAGAAUAUUAGAAUGGGUUGCCAUUUCUUUUUCAGAGGAUCUUCACGACCAAGCGAUUGAACUUGAGUCUUCUGCACUGGCAGGUGGAUUAUUUACCACUGAGCUACCUGGGAAGCCCCAUGGAUUGAAGGAGAGUCCUGGGCUUAUAAAAUACUCUAUUUCCUCCAUUAAUUGUGCCCGAGUGGAGUUGUAACCAAGUAGCUGAAACAAAUAAAAUGUAGUGAACUGCAGCAAGGGAACUGAGCGCUCAGGAUUUGGACGGGGAUGACCUGAGCCCUCCUCCAUACUGGAUAAUGACGCUCCUGCCUCAGUGCUCCACCAGGACUGGAGGCCGCCUUAAUGCCCAAUCCAGGGCCAGGUGAAGUCCUGCAGCAGCUGCUGCUCCUCCACCAGCUCUUCCCGAGGUCAUAGAGCCGCCACCUCGGCAGGCUCCGAUCCCGGUGACAAAAGCCUCUGGCCAGCACUUCCAGGAUCCGGCUCCAGCAGAACUGCCCAAGCUAUACCCGCCUCUCCUGUUAAAGUUGCAGAUAUUGUCCCUUGGAUCCCUCAUACGAGGGUGAAGAGAACAUAACUACUCAGACCCAAAAAACGCUGAGUGGACUGCACAGAGGGACCCCGCUGACCCUCGGGAGACUAAGACCAUCCUUAAGAAGAAGGAAAAGAAGAUCCUGGACGAGCCCCUUCAGGAUGAAGCCACACAAUCAACUCCUGCUGCUUGGCCUCAUCAACGUGAUUUUGAAUUUGACUUCUGUUUCAACUCAGGACAAUGUUUUCAUCUCAUGGGCACAUUCCUACGCAGACUUCCACAACACUUCCAACUGCUGGAUAUGUAGGGCUAUGCCUCUGUCAGUGAUGGAUGGACUUCCUUGGUGGGUGUCACCACUCUGCCAAGGAGAUUUUAAACCACUCUGCUCUUUUCUGGGAUGACAAAAAGAGACUUUCCUCUCUCUUGUCAAUCAUAACCUCUCCUUGCUCUUUUGGUGUAAGACCUACAGUCAAUAGACUCGGGUCAUGGGGUUACAUUUGAUAUAAAUGCCAGUGUAACAAAAGCCUAACCUACUUGUUGUAAAUCUACCCCAGUAGCCCAGGUAAAUCUACCUUAUUUACAUGCUAGGUGGACAAGAUCCGUGUUUCAAUGAUAUGAGUAUAUUGCUGCCUUAUUCGUACCCUCUAUAGGGACAACAGAUAUUAUGAUUAAAGUAGAGGCCUUGACUAAUUUCACAAAACAGGCCCUCCUAGAUAGAACAAAAGCCAUCCAAGCCUUAAAUGAAGAGCAAAUCCAAAUGAGAAAAGCGAUAAUUCAUGAUAGAAUGGCUUUGGACAUAUUCACAGCUGCUCAAGGAGGGACCUGUGCUAUAAUUAAGUUUGAAUGUUGUGUAUACAUCCCUGACUUAUCUGGCAAUGUAUCAACUGCUUUAGAUGACCAGUCUGGCUUUAGAAAAACCAGGUAAAAGCAAUGUCAAAUGAAAACAUUCCUUUUUGGACUUUGAUCCUAUCUUGGGUGAAGGGCGAUUGGUGGAAAACUAUAUUUACCACUGUUAUAGUUGUCUUGAUAGUUCUGCUUUGUGGACCCUGAAUUUUACAAUGUAUUAUGACCUCUGUAACCGGAAGGUUGAUGUCAUUCUCCCAAAUUGGUGGUCAGAGAGCCAGGGUGCAAUAUAUCCCUAUGAAUGAUGCUCAUAAUAUGAGUUAAGAGCAUCAAGAGCGGGGUGGGGGGGAUGAAGAAGGAAUUCAUAGGGCUUGGACUCCAUCUUAGGCCUGUUCAUGCUGAUCAUGCUCGGCCACCUUUCCAAUGGACUCUGAACUCUGUGUUUGGUGCCUAUGAAAACAACAACAGAAGGAAGGAUAAGACCCCUCCAGACAGGGGAACCUUGAAGAUUGUAUGUAGGUUACUCAUCGCCUAAGAGAAAACAUACACUUAUCACCCCUUCCUCCAGACAGGCCAUAAAUUUUUCUGUAUGUAUCAGAGUGUAACCUCGGGUUUAUUGAUUAUUGGCUAAUUGUUUGACUGUUUGAGCACAUGAGCACAUAGCACAUGAAUGAUGGGGUUAUUGGGAUUGUAUUUUCCUUGGUUUAUGUAAGUCUCAAGGAAUUUGGAGUGGUGGGUUCAGACACGUACACAUGGG
ensembl:lncRNA